GGAGCAUCUAUAGUUCCAUGGUUGACCAUCUGCUUUGCACACAGAAGGUCCCAGGUUUAAUCCCUGGCAUCUCCA